GCGGAGGGAUCAUUGCUGG
rnacentral:rRNA from 1 species